rnacentral:rRNA from 1 species
GCCAUUGUUUAUUUGAUUUUUACUCUACUUGGAUACCUGUGGUAACCUAAGAGCUAAUACACGCAUUCAAGUCCAGACCUUACGGGACGGACGCAUUUAUUAGAACAAAACCAAUCGGGCUUGCCCGCUAUUUGGUGAAUCUAAAUAACUUCGCUGAUCGCACGGUCCUAGCACCGGCGACGUAUCAUUCAAAUGUCUGCCUUAUCAACUUUCGAUGGUAGUUUAUGCGCCUACCAUGGUUGUAACGGGUAACGGAGAAUUAGGGUUCGACUCCGGAGAGGGAGCCUGAGAAACGGCUACCACAUCCAAGGAAGGCAGCAGGCACGCAAAUUACCCACUCCCGGCACGGGGAGGUAGUGACGAAAAAUAACGAGACGGUUCUCUAAGAGGCCCGUCAUCGGAAUGGGUACAAUUUAAAUCCUUUAACGAGGAUCUAUUGGAGGGCAAGUCUGGUGCCAGCAGCCGCGGUAAUUCCAGCUCCAAAAGCGUAUAUUAAAGUUGUUGUGGUUAAAAAGCUCGUAGUUGGAUCUGCGCCCUAGGUUUGUGGUCCCCUAAAUGGGAGGUACUGCUUUACCUGGGCUAUUCUAUCUGGUUUUCCCUUUGUGCUCUUCACCGAGUGCUCUGGGUGACUGGAAUUUUUACUUUGAAAAAAUUAGAGUGCUCAAAGCAGGCGGUCAGCCUGAAUAGUGGUGCAUGGAAUAAUGGAAUAGGACUUCGGUUCUAUUUUGUUGGUUUUCGGAGCUCGAAGUAAUGAUUAAGAGGGACAGACGGGGGCAUUCGUAUUGCGACGUUAGAGGUGAAAUUCUUGGAUCGUCGCAAGACGCACU